rnacentral:lncRNA from 13 species
GGGCAUUAUCAACAAUAGACUUGUAUUUCUCACAGUUCUGGAGGCUGCAAGUCUGAGGUCAGGGCACCAGCGUGAUCAGGAUUGGUGCCAUGUGAGGGACAGAUGAGCACAUGAGCCGCGAGGGCCGUGGAGCUGGCAGGCUGACCUGAGGCUGUGCAACAGGCUGUGGCCAUCUCCCCGUUAGGUGCUGUACAGGAAGACUGAGCACGCGCUGGACCUGCUGCUUCAGAGCUUCGUCUCAGAGAACAAGAGCAUGGAUGAGGCUUCCUUCCUCCUGGAGGUGACCGAGAUCCUGCACGGCCUGUUCCAGGAGCUGCCAGGCGUCACCCUCAAGAGCAUACAGCACACUAUGGUGAAGGUUGUGACAACUCUGGGGACCCAGCACGCCCAGAAGGUCAUCGAGGUGGUCCUGUCCUUGUGCCACCCUGCGGAGAGAUGGGUCCCUCCCCCUGCCAUGAACCCAAAGGAGGACAUCUGUGGUCCAUCCUCCAAUCCCCCUCCCAGGGCAGAGAAGCUGCCUGGAUGCACCCUCGGCUCCAGUCGUGGAAGGCAGACGUGCCUGAGAGCUCCCCCCAGCCUUAGCCCUCCUUCCCAGAGUCCAGAAUCAGGGCCAGCUGGGUCCCCAGAGAUGUCCUGGGCUGAGGGUAUUGAGGCUGGGGCUCUAGCAGGCCCAGGACAGGGGCGGCUGCAUUGUGAAACCUGUAAUCCCAGCACUUUGGAAGGCCAAGAUGGGUGGAUCACCUGAGGUCAGGAGUUUGAGACUAGCCUGGCCAACGUAGUAGAGCCCCAUCUCUACUAAAAAUACAAAAAUUAUCCUGGUG